ACGGAGGAUGCGAGCGUUAUCCGGAUUUAUUGGGUCUAAAGGGUGCGUAGGUGGACUGUUUAGUCAGUGGUGAAAUGCUGAUGCUCAACGUUAGCAUUGCCGUUGAAACUGACAGUCUUGAGAGUGAUUGAGGCAGGCGGAAUGUGGGGUGUAGGGGUGAAAUACAUAAAUACCAGGAAGACCACCAGUGGCGAAGGCAGCUUGCAAAGCCACAACUGACACUGAAGCACGAAAGCGUGGGGAUCAAACAG
rnacentral:rRNA from 1 species